ACCCUGAGAUGGAUGGAAGCCCCCGCUCCGCCACUGAGCCACAGCUGUUUGUCUCUGGGCUGUGCAUCCAUCUCCCAUGUGCCCCAGAGACUGCGACAGGGCAGUGAAGACGGACUGAGGCGCCGCACAGCCUUGACCACUACAACACCCACUGCGUGCUCCUCCCUCGGAUGUUCUUAGAGACUCUGAUAAGACAAGUGAGGCCACUCAUUGCCUUGCUAGUUUGCAUACUGUGGGGCUGUGGGGUGUGAGCACAGACAGGGUCUCGUGGAGCCAGGGAGGGGCAGAUGAGCAGCAUCUAGCAGGAUCGUUUUCUCUUUAGAAUUUCAACCUGUCAAGAAGAAAAUGUCUAUUCCCAGAGGAAGACAGGAGAGAGCUUAGCUCACAAGACAUCUUAGAAAAUGGAGAUCAAAUCCACAGACAAAGCCUGGAACAGCUCAGCCCCCAAGCGGUCACCUUGAUGGCCAGGCCGGCGGGAGUCAGCUGCUCUGUGUUCCGCUCACUGAGACAGUCUUCGCCCAUCAGAGAGGUGAGGUGUUGCAGGCAUUCUGCAUGGCCCUUCGAUGCAGCAACGUGUAACAGAUUGUUGCCAUUCUCGUCGUGAAUUUUGUCCAGAUUGUCUGCAGCUAGGUGUGGCUGGAGAGAGAGAGAGAGAGAGAGAGAGAGAGAGAAAGGCUUCAAUCAAUAAAUCAAAACAGGACACUAUGGAGGUUCUCCUGGGCACAGGGAAGAAGGAACAUCCGAAAACAGAUAUUUACAUUACAAUUCAUAACAGGAGCAAAUAUGAAGUAACGACAAAUUGAACAGUUGGGGGGUCACCACAACAUGAAGAAUUAAAUUAAGGGGUCACAGCGUUGGGAAGGUUGAGACUCACGCUUGAGAACAUGUUUUGUCAAGGGACAGAUGGCUGUGUGUGAGAAAGGGCUACUGAGUUAGGACCAAUGAGUUGUGAAGGUUUCUGGCUGGUUUUCUAGGUCCCCGAGCUGAAACUGACGGUAAGCAACAGCUUCUCUGUCUCUGUCACCACACUGUGGCUAAGUCCUUGAGGGACAGGGCUAUGCUUUAUUGACUGUUGUAGGUUUGUUGAAUGAAUAAAGAACUUGUUUGGAGGACCUGACUUGUCAGCCUGGCUCCUUCUGCAUGUUACCUAAUGGCUGUGGCUCCUAGCACUUUAUAGGAACCUCUAGACAUAUCAGUGACUCCCAGGGGUAUCUGGGAUAUCUGGAGGCAACUUGGUUCUUUGGCUGUUUUUUUUGUUUUUUGUUUUUUGUUUUUUUUUUCCCUGUCUCUGGUAAGAUUCAGUCCUCUGAGCAUCAAGUGUUUGACAGAAUAUUUUGGGUAAGCUGAAUGGUGUGAGCAUUUGUGACUUCUGGGACAAAGGAAAAGAAUGAACCAAAGAAAAUCAGAGGGAACAGCCAGGAAAAAUGGAAAGGCCAUUUUCAAUAGAAAACAGUUAUGGCUUCAUUUGGUAAAAUCGUUCCAUUGCAUUGUCCUGUUUGCGAUAACAGGCCCAGCACGUUGUAGUUUAUCUGUGCGCGCUUAACAUUACGGGGAAACGCUGCGAUGCGGUCAGUUUCCAAGAAUGAGACUUUAAUUAUCACUGGAGUAUGAGCCCAGGAUUGCUACUGUUUGAUCGGUGCCUAGAAGCUAGAAAAGAAGAGUGCAGCAGAUGGGAUGCUAUUUCUGCUGGGCUUUCUCAACAGAUAUUUCUUUCUACACCAAGUAACUCUGCGUCUGGAGUCUCUGGAGACAAUUCUUCAUGUUCCCUAGACACGCAGGCUGGAGCAAAGCAAAAACCCCAUGUGUGUCAGAGAACAAUCAAACUCUAGGGGAAGCUGUAUCUGCAAAUGCUUCCCCCCCCCCCCAGCCCAACUCUUCUGAAUAAUGAUCAGGGUGAAACAGAGAGUUCUCUGUUCACAGAUCUGGCAGGUCCGCCAUCAGCUAAAAACUGACAUCCACAGAAAGGGAUGGAGAGCAUGGGGAGCCAUUUGAAAAGCAAAGAGAAAAAAAAAAAGGCCUUACAACUGAACUGGAAAACAGUGCUGGGCUCUUUGUUUUGUUUUCCUUUCAGAUUAAAUGUCUUUAUUCCAGCUGAGGUCAGACGAUGUUAAACUGCGCUCACUCUCUCCUGGAGCCAUUUGUGUCCCCUGAAUUAACCUCCCGACCUCAGCGCUAAAAACUCCACGCAGCCCCACCAAAGCAACAAGUAAAGAUUCAGCAAGAAACAGAACAAAGAGGAGAGGAGAGGAACAGAACACUUGAUAGGAAGUUCUCAAAGAACUAAUUAAAAACCAAAACACUUCAAGGAAAGAUGUGAAACAAACACUUCUUCCUGUUAGAAGAUGGAGUCUGGAGACAGACGGACAGACUGACAGGCCAAUACACAGGCAAUACUCACCAAGAGCGAAAUCUGUCCUUCCUUCACAAUGUUCAGUAUGCUUCUCACUUUCUUCAGGUGCUCACUCCUUUCUUCUGAGCCUUGGCCGUUGGUCCAGGUCAUGCCGUUGACCUGCUCUUCCGGUUUGGGCCCUGCCGCUGAGGCCUGCAGGUGAAAGGCCCUGAGCUUGCAGUCUGGCCCCGUCUUCUCCGUUUUUCGACCAUGGGGGUCACUAAAGGCCUUGUUUAGGAAGUCUUGACUGCUGCUUUCUGACUCAUAUGCAGGGACACAUUUACCCAGAGCAGAGUCUCUGGCUGAUGUUUCAGUGGAGAAACGCGCUUCACCGGGCGGAACUUACUGUAUACAUCAGCGAUUCCAGUGGGCUUUUGUGGUUAAAAUAAAGAUGGCAUGCUGGCCUACAUUGAGCUGGUUGAGAUGGACUGUGAGGCAGCCGGACACAGUUGGAGGUCUAUGGCUGUUUGGUGGGUUCUGGAGGAAACCGGUGCCUGCUAGCCCGUCUUGAUUGCCAAGGAAGAAAAGCCUGCUUAUGAAGAACCAACACUAACUAACGGGCUUCAUGAGAAUGCUCAGACUUGUUGCCACGUCACACAUUUGGAUGAGUAGAAAUGCAGCAAACAACAAACACCCACAUAGUUCUCCCAAGCUGGACAAAUCCACAGCAUAAUAAACAAAUUAUUAACGGCAGGCAAGGCUUUCCCUUUCAGUUCUUUAAGAGUACCACCAAAUCCACUUGAUUGUUGUUUUGCUCCAGCACCAUCAUAACGCUCUAGUCAUCCACGGAAACAAAUUUCACAUUAACUAUGGCUACUAGGAAGAUUUUUGAGGAUAGAUUUAUUCUCUAGAAAUUAUGCAUAAAUUCUUGACACGUGAACAUAAUUUUAGUUCCUGAAAUUUUAUCUUAGUCUUUACAAGUUCUAUGAGAACAAUAUCUGUGCUUAAUUUGCCUCUCUGUCCUUCAAAACUCCCAGCAGAUUGCUUACCUAAGAAGGUUUUUAAUGAUGUUUUGCUUUUAGAUGUGUUCACCUUUCACAUCGUAGGACAGUAAAUAUGUCUAGCGUGCCUUCAAUUUGUCUACCUGAUGGAGUCACAAAAUUUUAAAACCAUCAGCAGUGAGGCAGAUGUUUAUGAUGCUCAUUUAUAGGCAAAAGAGUCUCCUAUAACCUAGCUGACAUGUGGGAUGCUCUGAGCAUUAGCAAGAAAAUUUCAGUUACCUCAUAAGUGUCAAAACUCAGACAUUUUUCCAAUAAGCAUCAAUGUGGAUCUAGAAUGUGGAAGGUCCUCUGAAUGGCAGAGCAUCUGAAUCCAGGGACCUGACUCUCUCCACCCCUGUCUGCAUCCACUCUUCCCCUUCCUCAAGCCCACCUCACAAGCCUAUUGAUGCCGGCUUGAACAAUGACAGUGUCAUUUAUAUAGUCUCGUAAGUCAUUCACCCCCAGAACAUCAUCUGUCCCUCUAUUCCCUUGAUCCCUGCCCCACAUUGCUCAGAAAAAAUCUGUGGCUUUAUUCCAAAUCCCUCUUAAAUCUGGACCCUUUUCUGUACCCUCACUGCACUAACUGGGAUAUACUGGGAUCCUUUUCCACAACCAUCACACACUGGUUUCCUUUCUCCCAUUGAUCUCUCUUUCUAGUCCAGUUAAUCCCUCUUUGGGUAAGAUUGAAUUUGUCACCCAAACUUCAGAUGUCCCAUGCUUCCUAAAAUGAUAUUGCCUUAGGUAUGGGAUGAGGAUCCCCAUUGUGUCAAAUACUCCCAGACCCAUGAUAAACACACCUCAUUUACAGUGUGAGAAAACAAUUUGGUGUUCAGCCUUCUUCUCCCUCCUCAUUUGUUUAAGGAGUCUUAGUUUGGUGCUAGAAUGUAAUUCUUCUCCAAAAUGUAGACUAUCCCUUAAUAAACUGACUGCAGGCUUCAGGGUCAUCGACUUUGAUAAGCAAUGAAUAAACUUUCGUAAGCAAUGAAUAAACUGGAGGGUUUUCUGUUCAUCACAUUCAUUUCAGUGAUGACCUAGAAUUUAUUUAAAGAAAUACUGGUUUUCUGUUUAGAACAUGACCAUCUCUUUAAAAAAAACAA